UACGUAGGGUGCAAGCGUUGUCCGGAAUUACUGGGCGUAAAGCGUGCGCAGGCGGUUCGUUGUGUCGGUGGUGAAAUCCCCGGGCUUAACCUGGGAAUGGCCAUGGAAACUGGCGAACUGGAGUGCGGCAGAGGGGGGUGGAAUUCCGCGUGUAGCAGUGAAAUGCGUAGAGAUGCGGAGGAACACCGAUGGCGAAGGCAGCCCCCUGGGCUAGCACUGACGCCUCAGGCACGAAAGCGUGGGGAGCAAACAGG
rnacentral:rRNA from 1 species